GCACCGCUUCGAAAAAACCUUCUGCAAACGUUCAACCCCGUUUUCCCUGUUCAAUUUCCCCCAGACCUCUAACAUUGUGAAUUAAUUUCUAUAAACUCAACUACAUUCGCCUUCUUUGUCUAUUUCUUAUUUGGGGUAAACGAAAAAAAUAAAGAAGUUAUCGAUAUGCUUACACAAAUUCUAUUUCCUUCGACGCCAAUGAAGACAUCCGAAGAACACCAUCACUCGACCACUGUUUCAGGUAUUCGCUCCAUAAUUGCUGGUAUGUAAUCCUUUCACAGUUUAGUAUUUAUCAUUUAUGUCUUAUUCUUAUAUAUUUCACUCUUACUAACUUGUAUGAACCCUAAUCUAAUUGUAUAGGUACGGAUAAACAAGUAUGCAAAAACACAAAACAAAAGU
rnacentral:lncRNA from 1 species